GGGGCCGGCGGGCGGCGGCGGGGGGAGGGACGGAUUCCUGAGCCCGGGCUGGGGCGGGGGGGCCCGGGGGAGGAGCGCGGCUGGGAGGCUCCGCCGAGCGGGGCGCAGAAGUUUGGGGAAGGGGAGGGUCCGGGCGGAUUCCUCCCCGCCGCCGCCCCGUGUGCUGCCUGGGCUGGGGCGGCCGCGGACCCCGACGGAGCGGGGGCGGAGCCGGGACGCUGCUGCCCCCCGCCGCGCGCCCUUGGGAGGGUGGCUCUCCAGGGACUUGGCCAAAGGCGAGCCUGCCAAGCAGAGCGGCUUCCAGAUCCAGAAGGGCUGCCUAGCAGUCCUGAAGGUGAAGCACCCGACACCUUGUUCUUCCAUCUUUCGGCUCCCGCGCUCGCAUCUGGAUUCCCAAUCCUUUCUUACACCCCACCUCAGACUUCACUUCUGCCACGAAUCGGUCCUGUCAGUGUGACAACACCCACCGUCUGUUAGGACAUGGAAAGGGCUGGUGGGGAGGCGAAAUGUUUGGCCAAUGUUUCCAUCACAA